rnacentral:rRNA from 1 species
AGAGUUUGAUCCUGGCUCAGGAUGAACGCUGGCGGCGUGCCUAACACAUGCAAGUCGAACGAAACGGUUUUGCGGAAGUUUUCGGAUGGAAGCGGAAUUGACUGAGUGGCGGACGGGUGAGUAACGCGUGGAUAACCUGCCUCAUACAGGGGGAUAACAGUUAGAAAUGACUGCUAAUACCGCAUAAGCGCACGGGAACGCAUGUUUCUGUGUGAAAAGCUGAGACGGUAUGAGAUGGAUCCGCGUCUGAUUAGCUAGUUGGUGAGGUAACGGCCCACCAAGGCGACGAUCAGUAGCCGACCUGAGAGGGUGACCGGCCACAUUGGGACUGAGACACGGCCCAAACUCCUACGGGAGGCAGCAGUGGGGAAUAUUGCACAAUGGGGGAAACCCUGAUGCAGCGACGCCGCGUGAGUGAAGAAGUAUUUCGGUAUGUAAAGCUCUAUCAGCAGGGAAGAGAAUGACGGUACCUGACUAAGAAGCCCCGGCUAACUACGUGCCAGCAGCCGCGGUAAGAACCUAGGU